rnacentral:rRNA from 1 species
CGAAACUAUUUGGUCAAUUUUUUCCUAGCUAAGAGCUUAUGGGUCAAAAGGGCUUUUUUCAAAAAGGAAUUUAUAGUAUAGAAAAUAUUAUCAGAAAUAGUUAUAGCUUAUAUAGAAGAAAGGCUUUCAAAGCACUAUAUGGACAGGUAAAAUCUGUUCUGAGUUUCAUAAUGUAUUUAAAAUUUUGAAUUUCAAUAAUUUGAGGUGAGAAGUUUCUAAAAUAAAGAAGUGUUUUUACUUUAAUCUAUGUUGUAAAGCCAUUUUUAUUUAUUCUUCUAAAAUUAAUCAAAAAAUAAAUUAUGCUGGAAUUAGUAAGUGAAUGAAAGUUUAAAAAACUAGAGAUUAACUCCAACUGUUUAACAAAAACAUUUCCUUUAUGAAUAUAUUAAAGGUAAGGCCUGCUCAGUGAAUUACUAUAAAAAGUAAAAUAAACAGCCGCGGUAUUUUAACUGCGCGAAGGUAGCAUAAUUAAUUGUCUUUUAAUUGGUGACUUGUUUGAAUGGCUUAAUGAGGGUUAAUCUUUCUAAAACUUCGAUUGAAAUUACUCUCUAGGGUUAAAAAGCCUAGAUUAAUAAAAAAGAAGAGAAGACCCUGAUGAGUUUUACAGUAGAAAUACUGUUUAAAUGGGGCUUUACAAUUUAUUGAAUUUUGUAUUCGAUCCUAAUAUCUAGAGAUAUUUAAGGCAAAAGAAAUAAACUACCACAGGGAUAACAGGACAAAAUUUGCUGAGAGUACUUAUCUAAGCAAGGAACUGUUACUUCGAUGUUGAAUCAAAGUAAACUGUUAGGCGCAGAAGUUUUUGGAGUGGGUCUGUUCGACC